UGGGGAAUUUUGGACAAUGGGCGCAAGCCUGAUCCAGCUAUUCCGCGUGUGGGAUGACGGCCCUCGGGUUGUAAACCACUUUAGUAGAGAACGAAAAGGAGCUAUCGAAUAAAUAGCUCUGCUGACGGUACUCUAAGAAUAAGCACCGGCUAACUACGUGCC
rnacentral:rRNA from 1 species